UUGGGUUAACCGGCACUCUAACGCCGACCAGCGAACAUUGUGUUUUGAAUUUAUUUGUGACAUUCGUCUUGUUUGUUCUUGGGCAACGUGUGUUUACACUUUUAGAAUUAUUUUGCACGGUCUGCGUCGUGCUUCGUUCUUUCUUAUCUUGGGAAGGUUCGUCCGUGAUAGUAGGGGAUAUCGGGAAUGGAUUUUCAAACUUCAGUUUUCAAGAGGAUAGGUAAUUAGAGAAGAUAGAAGUGAACGGUCGUUUAACGUUAGAACCGGCACGACCUUGUGCCAAAUGGAGUGAGAAUACUCCUAUUAAGAAGUUUGAGCUUCUGGACUGGCGUUGUGACGUUAGUCAUCGAAAUCUUUAAUAUAUCGUUCCUGGACUGGUCGAAACUGCUUGGUAACCCUGGGGCCGAAAUAGUCUGCAGUUGUGCUGGUACUUGGGUCUUAGAGCUCGGAUUCUCCCUUAAGGGUCUCAUAACUGAUUAAAGAAAUUACCUGUUAAGCAA